UACAGAGGUCUCAAGCGUUGUUCGGAUUCAUUGGGCGUAAAGGGUGCGUAGGCGGCGCGGUAAGUCGGGUGUGAAAUCUCGGAGCUUAACUCCGAAACUGCAUUCGAUACUGUCGUGCUUGAGGACUGGAGAGGAGACUGGAAUUUACGGUGUAGCGGUGAAAUGCGUAGAUAUCGUAAGGAAGACCAGUGGCGAAGGCGGGUCUCUGGACAGUUCCUGACGCUGAGGCACGAAGGUCAGGGGGAGCAAACGGG
rnacentral:rRNA from 1 species